GAACGCACAUUGCACUCUAUUUCGGUAGAGUAUGCCUGUUUGAGAAUCUAUAGUAUUUAUUUUGCCUUUAUGCUUUUAACAGAGCGUAAAGAACAAAGAUAUGUGGAUUGAUUUUUAAAUCUUCCUCGAAAUCUAUAGCUGAACUGUGCCUAGAGUGUUUGACUCUUUGCAAAGCAUCAGAAACGUAUUUGAAUGAGAUUUAUCUCUUAUAAUGCUUAUUAUGAUGCAGUAAAGAUUAGCUCAAAGCUACUUUGCAGUUUAUAACCAUUAAAGCCGUAAAAAAGCUUGAACCAUGGUCUCAAAUCAGGUAGGAAUACCCGCUGAACUUAAG
rnacentral:misc_RNA from 1 species